rnacentral:rRNA from 1 species
GAGUUUGAUCAUGGCGUCAGGAUGAACGCUAGCUACAGGCUUAACACAUGCAAGUCGAGGGGAAACGACAUCGAAAGCUUGCUUUUGAUGGGCGUCGACCGGCGCACGGGUGAGUAACGCGUAUCCAACCUGCCCACCACUUGGGGAUAACCUUGCGAAAGUAAGACUAAUACCCAAUGAUAUCUCUAGAAGACAUCUGAAAGAGAUUAAAGAUUCAUCGGUGAUGGAUGGGGGAUGCGUCUGAUUAGCUUGUUGGCGGGGUAACGGCCCACCAAGGCAACGAUCAGUAGGGGUUCUGAGAGGAAGGUCCCCCCACAUUGGAGCUGAGACACGGUCCAAACUCCUACGGGAGGCAGCA